ACUCUCGGCAACGGAUAUCUUGGCUCUCGCAUCGAUGAAGAACGUAGCGAAAUGCGAUACUUGGUGUGAAUUGCAGAAUCCCGUGAACCAUCGAGUCUUUGAACGCAAGUUGCGCCCGAGGCCAUCCGGCCGAGGGCACGCCUGCCUGGGCGUCACGCCUCGCGUCGCUCCGC
rnacentral:rRNA from 1 species